GUUCGGCUCAGCGAGAUACACGUUCGACUCAGUGAGAUUCAGAUCCAGUAGUUGUAUUGAGAAAGAGAAAAACUUUUCUGCUGAAUUUGAACCUGACGGGUACAGUCCUGGAGCUCUUGUUUGCUAUCUUGCCAGUACAUGGAACCCAAGGAACCAAAGCCAACAUGGAGAAGAGCGGAGUGAUAAAUGGAGAGACUCUGUCCCAGAGACAUCACUUGCAUUCUGAAGCUGUGACUGUAGUCGGGUUACCCUAAUCUCUUUUCAGUUGAGCUGGGUUUGAAUUGGACUUUCUGUCACUGAAUCAAAAAAGAGCCUUGACUAGACCCUUCACGAGAACCUGAGCUCACCUUAUUUCCUGUCUCCUACCCAUUGUGGACGACACUCGUAUCCUUGAUUUCUAACCCAGGAAAUCAGCAAUGGAGUGAGGUGAGGGAUAGAGCAAGACUCAAGGACGGGGGUCAAACUGGAGUCAUUCUGGAUUUAUUCCAUGGUCACACUAGAAUCCUCAGGGAGUCUUUCUGGGCCAACCCAACACUGCGGUGAGCAGGACUCUCAGCUGCUCCACGGAGACAGUGAAUCAGGAGAAAAGCCAGUCUUUGCAGAGAUGGACAAAACUUGCCAGGACCUACGGUGGGAGCAAAGCCUGCUGUGGACGCUGGCUGUCCUGACGUCACGCUUCUUCCCGCAUCAGACUUGCUCCAAGUUCUGAUGGCUGCAGAGUUGCAGUGGCGAGAAGAAGGAAAGGCAAAGGACAGGAAGGGUCUUAUUUGACCAGCACUUGUCUGAUCUCAGUUUCCUCUGACCUGGCAAGUGUUUAAGGAUGAUUUUCUCUUUGGUGGAUUUCUUGGAGAUAGGCUUCCAGGCUGAAAAUCCUUUCCCUGCCGUUCCCUUGUUGGCAGUGGAUAUGUCUCUUCUGGCUGGUCGCUUAGUAACUCUUCCCUCCACCCCUCUGUUGCUCAGUGCAACUUUGGCCUUCGUUCUUCCAAGGUGAACCCCUGGGGUGGAACCCCAAGGUCUCCAGGCAAGGUCUUUCUGCCAGGGGCCCCAUCUGAUCCUGGGCAGAUGCCAACACAUCUGGGGCCUCCAGGAGUGCACUGACACCAUAACAGCAGCCCCUUCUGCUGCCCCAGGCAGCUUUCAACACCUUUCCUCUUUCGCUGUCUGUCUCCCUGGCAAAUGCAGCCCUCUGAGCAAGCCCGUCAAGCCCCCCUCCCCUCCGCCGUCACACACACACCCCUUCCUCUUUGGCGUGAGGGCUGGGACUCACAGCAUACUGGCAUUUCUCCAAAGAGAUGCUCCAAUCUCCAAGUUCCCUCCAGCUCUCCCAUGUUAACUUUUUGGUUUUGCAAGUGGUAACAGAGUUUGAGCUACCUCCUUUAAAAGCAAUAUUGACACUUUGCCCUGCUGCCUUAAGUAGUGUGUACCUCAUUUUUUCCACAGCCCAGGAGGGAAAAAAGUACAAAGCAGGUUGCACUGGGAGAUAAAACAAAAAUAAAUAGAUCACCUCCAGUUCUGCUCCCCUAAAUAAAAGAAGCCUUGACCUUCUCCAGGAAAGACAGGUUUCCAGCCUCUGUAAUCCCUUCCUCUCCCAACAGAGGUAGGGCUGUCAUUUGAUUCUUACCUGACUUGAACAAAAACUUUACUCUGCUGACAUCUGACCAUAAGCUAUGACUUUUGAGGAUAUGACAAUCACGAGAAAGUUGCUGCUUUUCUAUCAUGACAGCUAAUAUAAACUAGGUAACUUUCCUGAUACUGAGGGGUUUUUUUUCCUUAACUAUCUAUAUGUAUUUUUUUAAAUUUUUUAUUUUUGCCAGCCUGUCCUUUUGAAGCCUGACUCCCUUGAAUUCUUUUUAAAAUAAACUUCUUUUCUUUCUUAAA